rnacentral:rRNA from 1 species
AUACCGUGAAACUGCGAAUGGCUCAUUAAAUCAGUUAUCGUUUAUUUGAUAGUACCUUACUACUUGGAUAACCGUGGUAAUUCUAGAGCUAAUACAUGCUGAAAACCCCAACUUCGGGAGGGGUGUAUUUAUUAGAUAAAAAACCAACGCCCUUCGGGGCUUCUUGGUGAUUCAUGAUAACUUCACGGAUCGCAUGGCCUUGCGCCGGCGACGGUUCAUUCAAAUUUCUGCCCUAUCAACUUUCGAUGGUAAGGUAUUGGCUUACCAUGGUUUCAACGGGUAACGGGGAAUUAGGGUUCGAUUCCGGAGAGGGAGCCUGAGAAACGGCUACCACAUCCAAGGAAGGCAGCAGGCGCGCAAAUUACCCAAUCCCGACACGGGGANGUAGUGACAAUAAAUACUGAUACAGGGCUCUUUUGGGUCUUGUAAUUGGAAUGAGUACAAUUUAAACCUCUUAACGAGGAACAAUUGGNNNNNNNNNNNNNNNNNNNNNNNNGCGGUAAUUCCAGCUCCAAUAGCGUAUAUUAAAGUUGUUGCAGUUAAAAAGCUCGUAGUUGAAACUUGGGCCUGGCUGGCAGGUCCGCCUCACCGCGUGUACUUGUCCGGCCGGGCCUUUCCUUCUGGAGAACCUCAUGCCCUUCACUGGGUGUGCUGGGGAACCAGGACUUUUACUUUGAAAAAAUUAGAGUGUUCAAAGCAGGCCUUUGCUCGAAUACGUUAGCAUGGAAUAAUAGAAUAGGACGUGCGGUCCUAUUUUGUUGGUUUCUAGGACCGCCGUAAUGAUUAAUAGGGACAGUCGGGGGCAUCAGUAUUCAAUUGUCAGAGGUGAAAUUCUUGGAUUUAUUGAAGACUAACUACUGCGAAAGCAUUUGCCAAGGAUGUUUUCAUUAAUCAGUGAACGAAAGUUAGGGGAUCGAAGACGAUCAGAUACCGUCGUAGUCUUAACCGUAAACUAUGCCGACUAGGGAUCGGGCGAUGUUCUUUUUCUGACUCGCUCGGCACCUUACGAGAAAUCAAAUUUUUGGGUUCUGGGGGAGUAUGGUC